rnacentral:piRNA from 1 species
UAAAGGGCAUCUUUUCUCUGCAUUGUAGGA